UAAGUUGGGUCUCCGCUUA
rnacentral:snRNA from 1 species